CCUACGGGGGCAGCAGUGGGGAAUAUUGGACAAUGGGCGAAAGCCUGAUCCAGCCAUGCCGCGUUUGUGAAGAAGGCCUUCGGGUUGUAAAGCACUUUCAGUGGGGAAGAAAGCCUUGGGGCUAAUACCCUCGAGGAAGGACAUCACCCACAGAAGAAGCACCGGCUAACUCCGUGCCAGCAGCCGCGGUAAUACGGAGGGUGCGAGCGUUAAUCGGAAUUACUGGGCGUAAAGCGCGCGUAGGCGGUCUGAUAAGCCGGUUGUGAAAGCCCCGGGCUCAACCUGGGAACGGCAUCCGGAACUGUCAGGCUAGAGUGCAGGAGAGGAAGGUAGAAUUCCCGGUGUAGCGGUGAAAUGCGUAGAGAUCGGGAGGAAUACCAGUGGCGAAGGCGGCCUUCUGGACUGACACUGACGCUGAGGUGCGAAAGCGUGGGUAGCAAACAGGAUUAGAUACCCCGGUAGUC
rnacentral:rRNA from 1 species